rnacentral:rRNA from 1 species
GACGAACGCUGGCGGCGUGCUUAACACAUGCAAGUCGAACGAUGAACUUGGAGCUUGCUCUGGGGGAUUAGUGGCGAACGGGUGAGUAACACGUGAGUAACCUGCCCUGGACUCUGGGAUAACUUCGAGAAAUCGGAGCUAAUACCGGAUAGGACCUUGCACCGCAUGGUGUGGGGUGGAAAGUUUUUCGGGUUGGGAUGGACUCGCGGCCUAUCAGCUUGUUGGUGUGGUAAUGGCUCACCAAGGCGUCGACGGGUAGCCGGCCUGAGAGGGUGACCGGCCACACUGGGACUGAGACACGGCCCAGACUCCUACGGGAGGCAGCAGUGGGGAAUAUUGCACAAUGGGCGCAAGCCUGAUGCAGCAACGCCGCGUGCGGGAUGACGGCCUUCGGGUUGUAAACCGCUUUUAGUAGGGAAGAAGCCUUCGGGUGACGGUACCUGCAGAAAAAGGACCGGCUAACUACGUGCCAGCCGCCGCCGUAAAAC